ACGAAUCCUGUGAACAGCACACAAAGCGUUUAGAAUCGCUUGCAGGAUUCAUUUUAUUGUGAGGAAACCGCUGCUAUUCCAGUGGCGUAACAUGGGUGUUAGAAAUCAUGCCAGUUUAUGGAUAAGAACCGAAACAUCUGACAAGCGGGCUUAACUCUGUCGAUUUUGUUAAACGCUGCCGUGAAUCGUCCUGCUUUGUGAAAUGUAAUGAAUGCCGUUUUAAAACGGUGUAAAAGUAAGGUGAGAGGUAACAGACAAAAAACGGAGCUGUGAAUUUAACCGCCACUUUAUUGAAAUGAAUGGUUGUGUGGAACAAAGGGCAAAGGUUUUCCGUACCUGGCAGUUUAUGUAGCUCUCGUCUAAAUCAAAAUAGCCGCGCUUUCUAACUAAUGCUUUACCGCAGUCCUAAAUCUCCUCGACGCAGAGGAAAACAGUAACGUCUGAAAAGAAAUAAGCACAUGGAUGACUACAUCUCAGCGGCAGCAUCGAGCUUCCUUUCAUACUGACCUGUUUGGCUGCCGUGAAACAGACUAAUUAUCACAUUCUCGGAGCGACUGUAAUUAACAAGCUGGCCCCCGGAGCGGAAGUGUGAAUGUUUCAGGUUGCGGAUCUGUCUGCGGCUUCCCGCGCAAGCUGUCACGUUUGUUUGCCGACCGGCGCGCACACACCCCGCUGCAGAUUUCCGAAGCCUGCCAGUGUAAAUGAAAGGGAAAAACAAUGUGGCGCAGCCCGGUGGCCCGAUCGAGGGAUGAUACAUGCUGUGACUGCUGCAGGAGUGACCCGGGGUGCACGGCCGGUGCUGCACCUUGAAAUCUGAAGAAGAACCUGUUUUGGCCUCAAGUGAAGAUGUCUUCAGUUCAUCUGCACUGGGGACUGCAUCCUCCUUCAUCACCACAAGGGGGACCGGAUCGUCUCAUUGCAUUUCAUUACUCCCUCCACCCCGGUGAAAACAACCAUCUGCCCUUGUUCUCUGUAGGAAACGGAUUUCAGUGUCCGCCCGCUUUCAUUCGCCAGCCUUGUGACACAUCUAUCACAGAGAUGAAGCGAAUGUGAAUUAGAUGCAUAGCCAUUGAGAUGCCUGCAGUUAAUAAUUUACCAUUUGCUUAUUGAAACAGAGACACGUACUGUUAUUCUGACAUGCUAUUCCGGGUCCUGGAAUUUGCAUGCAGAUGAAUCUGAAGAGAACUAAAAAAUGAAUAAAAAAAAUCUCACUCUCAUCAAA